UGAGCUUAUUACGUGAACUUUGAUUAGAGAUCUUUUGAUGUAGAGCUAAGUACGGUGAAAUAUUAUAUCUAUAAGGUGAAUUGAAUUUAAAAAGAUCCUUAACACUAGUAGUACGGAUUUUACCUAGCCUAUUUUAUCACAGAUAUUAAUCACAGUUAGUAGUUUGGAAUCACAGUUAGUGCUACGGAUUCGGAUCCGGAUUUGCAGUUAGGAACAACUAUUUCAAAACUAAGAAAUCGCACGAGAUACCGUACGAGACCGCUUACCGGACGUAACGAGUAAAAGACACACUAAACGUGAGUAAAAGAAUGACAGAAUUUGAGCUUUAAGAUCGACAUAGCUUUUCGUUAAAUUUCAAACUGUUUUCAACAAUUACAGGAAAAAUUUAACAUACAAGUCUGAUAUAAUAAAUACAACAUAUUUGG